CUACGGGAGGCAGCAGUAGGAAUAUUGGUCAAUGGGCGCAAGCUCUGAACCAGCCAUGCCGCGUGCAGGAUGACGGUCCUAUGGAUUGUAAACUGCUUUUGUACAGGAAGAAACACUCCCUCGUAGGGAGCUUGCACGGUCUCUGUAAAAAUAAGCAUCGGUAACUCCGU
rnacentral:rRNA from 1 species